GACGAACGCUGGCGGCGUGCCUAAUACAUGCAAGUAGAACGCUGGAGGAGGAGCUUGCUCUUCUGGAUGAGUUGCGAACGGGUGAGUAACGCGUAGGUAACCUGCCUGGUAGCGGGGGAUAACUAUUGGAAACGAUAGCUAAUACCGCAUAAGAGUAGAUGUUGCAUGACAUUUGCUUAAAAGUUGCAAUUGCAUCACUACCAGAUGGACCUGCGUUGUAUUAGCUAGUUGGUGGGGUCACGGAUCACCAAGGCGACGAUACAUAGCCGCCCUGAGAGGGGGGUCAGCCACACUGGGACUGUGACACGGCCCAGACUCCUACGGGAGGCAGCAGGAGGGCAUCGUCGGCAAUGGACGGAAGACUGACCGAGCAACGCCGCGGGAGGGAAGAAGGUUGUCGGAUCGGAAAGCUCGGUUGUAAGAGAAGAACGAGUGUGAGAGUGGAAAGUUCACACUGUGACGGUAUCUGACCAGAAAGGGACGGCUAACUACGUG
rnacentral:rRNA from 1 species